AGGACCGCAGCUGAGGCUGUGUGCCGCGGGGAGGGCUGGCCCGGGGGGUGGCUGAGCGAGCAAGACGCAGCUUCUCUUUUCCAGCGGCUCGUUCUUCUGACCACCCGGUUCUGGCCUAGUUCUUUCCCUGUCCCGCCCUUGCAGGGGCCACUGGACAGCUGAGGCCCUGACCUUUGAUCCCUGCGCGGGGCUGACCUCGAUCCCUGCCUGGAAAGCCUGUCCUUCCAGCUUGUGCGUGGCUCUGUGGUGAGGGUCAGGGGCUAGACCUCUGAGAAGGAAUAGAGGAAGGCGAGUCUGUCCGAAGUCUUCAGGUGUCCCGGAAGGGACACUAUCUAACCUCUUGAGUCUCCGACCGACUGGUUUCCUUUACCACUGAGCUACACCCCUGAUCUUAUUUUGAAAAUUUGAGAGAGGAUCUCUAAAUUGCCGAGACCGGCCUCGAACUCUCAAUCCUCCAGCGUCAGUCUCCAAGUGGCUGGGAUUACAGGUGUACAGCACUGCGCCGGUCUUCCCACCGACUGCCUUAAGCUUACCUUUUACAUAGAAAGUUACUCGGGUUACUCGGUGUAAACUAACCUUUUCAAAGGCAGUGGGGAAAGAAAUGAGAGAACAGGUUCCCUGGGGGAAGGAGAGCCAUCAGAAGUUGAGGAGUGCUGCACCUGGCGAUCGGGACAGUAGAAAUUUGGCCCAGGCCUGAAUAAAUGUUUCUGGAUCAUCAAAUCGUCCCCGGUUCUUCUUUUCCAGAAAAAUUUGAACUUAAAAAAAUUUUUUUUUGUUUGUUUGUUUGGUACACCAAGAUAAAGAUGAUUUGUGUCCCUCCCUUUAAUUUAGGA
rnacentral:lncRNA from 1 species